AGAGUUUGAUCCUGGCUCAGAAUCAACGCUGGCGGCGUGCCUCAGACAUGCAAGUCGAACGAUUAAAGCUCCCUUCGGGGAGUGCAUAAAGUGGCGCACGGGUGAGUAACACGUAAGUAAUCUACCUUCGAGUGGGGAAUAACAGUCGGAAACGGCUGCUAAUACCGCAUAAUGCAGCGGCAUCGCAAGAUGACAGUUGUUAAAGAUUUAUCGCUUGAAGAGGAGCUUGCGGCAGAUUAGCUAGUUGGUAAGGUAAUGGCUUACCAAGGCUACGAUCUGUAACCGGUCUAAGAGGACGGUCGGUCACACUGACACUGAAUAACGGGUCAGACUCCUACGGGAGGCAGCAGUCGGGAAUUUUGGGCAAUGGGGGAAACCCUGACCCAGCAACGCCGCGUGAAGGAUGAAGUAUUUCGGUAUGUAAACUUCGAAGAAUAGGAAGAAUUAAUGACGGUACUAUUUAUAAGGUCCGGCUAACUACGUGCCAGCAGCCGCCGUAAU
rnacentral:rRNA from 1 species